ACGCCGCGUGAGUGAUGAGGUUUUCGGAUCGUAAGCUCUGUUGUUAGGGAAGAACAAGUGCGAUACUAACUGCUCGCACCUUGACGGUACCUAACCAGAAAGCCACGGCUAACUACGUGCCAGCAGCCGCGGUAAUACGUAAGUGGCAAGCGUUGUCCGGAAUUAUUGGGCGUAAAGGGCUCGCAGGCGGUUUCUUAAGUCUGAUGUGAAAGCCCCCGGCUCAACCGGGGAGGGUCAUUGGAAACUGGGAAACUUGAGUGCAGAAGAGGAAAGUGGAAUUC
rnacentral:rRNA from 1 species